GUUGCUGUUCCUGAUGCACAGACUCCUCCCCCGCUGCUUUUCUGCCCACUGGGUCAGGAUCUGCCAUUCUUUACAAGUUUCCUUAACGUAUUGCGUCAAAGCGAGACAACCGAGUCUUACUCAAACUUGUUUUAACCGGAGAUGGAGGGUUGCUGCUGUGUCACCGCCUGCACAGGGCUGCCCUCAGGCCAGCUUCCUGGGGCUUACUCCAAGGGCAUCGGCUUGCCCCGCACUGUGGUGGGAUGUAAAGUGAUAACAGCUAAACGACGCAUGCACAACAUGUCCUGGUGCCUUCUGCGUGACCCCAGAGCAGCAGGUUCUGCACAUGGCAGCCUGGAGUGCAAUGGCACGAUCUCAGCUCGCUGCAACCUCCGCCUCCCCGGUUCAAGCAAUUCUACUGCCUCAGCCUCCCGAGUAGCUGAGAUUACAGGCCCCUGCCACCAUGCCCAGGAGAUACUUGAGAGGGACCAUGCCCGGCUGAAGCCCCGUCUCGUGUGGAAGAAUGUCAUCUCCAGUGUCUGCUGCCUCCUCCCUGCAAAGUCUCCCACAAGCACAGGACAAGGGGUGCUUCCACCAUCUCCUAGGAGCUGAUGACAUGUCCAGACCAGGUCUCAUGCUUGGUGCCUGGUGCCAGGGAACUGUGGAACACGUCGCAGAGAGCUCAAGCGCCACGUUUGGAUCCCUGAGCAGCUGUCACAAGCCUGCACCCAGGACUGGGGGGCCUGCUGCGAGAGCCCAAAGGGAAAGGGAGAAUUUCCAAGGCUGCAUCCAGCUCCAUCAGGCCCAGUGAAUUUCCACACAGCCCGGGUCACCACGCUGUUAUGAAAUCAAAUUCCUUCUGUGACCCCUAGUAUGUACCGGUAAAUCCAGCUGGAGGGCGGGAAUUCCCUAGCUGCUGCUGUGCUUUUGACAAUUUUUCAAGAG